rnacentral:rRNA from 1 species
UGCUGUGUGGUGACUGUAAUGGUUUUGUGUGUGUUGGGUAGGGGAGCGUCGAGCGGGUGGUGAAGCUGCCGGGUGACCGAGUGGUGGAGCCUGUUCGAGUGAGAAUGCAGGCAUGAGUAGCGAAUGACGGGUGAGAAACCCGUCCGCCGAAUGAUCAAGGGUUCCGGGGUCAAGCUAAUCUGCCCCGGGUGAGUCGGGACCUAAGGCGAGGCCGACAGGCGUAGUCGAUGGACAACGGGUUGAUAUUCCCGUACCGGCGAAGAACCGCCCAUACUGAACUGGGGAUACUAACCACCGGUUCCACCCGUUUCUCAUGCGCCACUUUGUGGUGUGUGGUUGUGGUGGGAUGCGUGGGACCUGAUCCAGGGAGGUAAGCGUGUUAACAGGUGUGACGCAGGAAGGUAGCCGAGCCAGGCGAUGGUAGUCCUGGUCUAAGCGUGUAGGGCGAGUCAUUGGUAAAUCCGUGGCUCAUAUAGCUUGAGACGUGAUGGGACCCCUUUGGUGGGGGAUUCGGUGAUCCUAUGCUGCCGAGAAAAGCAUCGACGUGAGGUUCUAGCCGCCCGUACCCCAAACCGACACAGGUGAUCAGGUAGAGAAUACUAAGGCGUUCGAGAGAAUCAUGGUUAAGGAACUCGGCAAAAUGCCCCCGUAACUUCGGGAGAAGGGGGGCCCGGACCCUGACAUGCCCUUGCGGUGUGGAGGGGGUAAGGGUCGCAGAGACCAGGGGGAAGCGACUGUUUAUCAAAAACACAGGUCCGUGCGAAGUCGUAAGACGAUGUAUACGGACUGACUCCUGCCCGGUGCUGGAAGGUUAAGAGGACCUGUUAGACGCAAGUCGAAGCGGAGAAUUUAAGCCCCAGUAAACGGCGGUGGUAACUAUAACCAUCCUAAGGUAGCGAAAUUCCUUGUCGGGUAAGUUCCGACCUGCACGAAUGGAGUAACGACUUCCCCGCUGUCUCAACCAUGAACUCGGCGAAAUUGCAGUACGAGUAAAGAUGCUCGUUACGCGCAGCAGGACGGAAAGACCCCGAGACCUUUACUAUAGUUUGGUAUUGGUGUUCGGUGCGGCUUGUGUAGGAUAGGUGGGAGACUGUGAAGCGGACACGCCAGUGUUCGUGGAGUCGUUGUUGAAAUACCACUCUGGUCGCUCUGGAUAUCUAACUUCGGCCCGUGAUCCGGGUCAGGGACAGUGCCUGAUGGGUAGUUUAACUGGGGCGGUUGCCUCCUAAAGAGUAACGGAGGCGCCCAAAGGUUCCCUCAGCCUGGUUGGCAAUCAGGUGUUGAGUGCAAGUGCACAAGGGAGCUUGACUGUGAGAGUGACGGCUCGAGCAGGGACGAAAGUCGGGACUAGUGAUCCGGCGGUACAUUGUGGAAUGGCCGUCGCUCAACGGAUAAAAGGUACCUCGGGGAUAACAGGCUGAUCUUGCCCAAGAGUCCAUAUCGACGGCAUGGUUUGGCACCUCGAUGUCGGCUCGUCGCAUCCUGGGGCUGGAGUUGGUCCCAAGGGUUGGGCUGUUCGCCCAUUAAAGCGGCACGCGAGCUGGGUUCAGAACGUCGUGAGACAGUUCGGUCCCUAUCCGCUGCGCGCGUUGGAAAUUUGAGAAGGUCUGUCCUUAGUACGAGAGGACCGGGACGGACGAACCUCUGGUAUGUCAGUUGUACCGCCAGGUGCAUGGCUGAUUGGCUACGUUCGGGAGAGAUAACCGCUGAAAGCAUCUAAGC